CAGGGACCGAUUCUCCUGGGCCCUGCGACGCCAGGACAGACUUCCGUUCUCCAUCUCCCGUCGCCCAGUUGGGCUUGGCGCCGCCGGGCGCGCCGGCCCCCCGGGGGAAGCCUCCUCCGUCAGCCCCUUGGAGGUGUCCAAGGCUAGGCCCCAGCCCCCAUGUUCGCGUUUCGGGAUGGCGAGCAGCAGCGGCUCCAAGGCCGAAUUUAUGGUCGGAGGGAAAUACAAACUGGUGCGGAAGAUCGGGUCCGGCUCCUUCGGGGACAUUUACCUAGCGAUUAACAUCACCAACGGCGAGGAGGUGGCAGUGAAGCUAGAAUCGCAGAAGGCCAGGCAUCCCCAGUUGCUGUAUGAGAGCAAACUCUAUAAGAUUCUUCAAGGUGGGGUCGGUAUCCCGCACAUACGCUGGUAUGGUCAGGAAAAGGACUGUAACGUGCUAGUCAUGGAUCUUCUGGGACCCAGCCUUGAAGACCUCUUCAAUUUCUGUUCAAGGAGGUUCACCAUGAAAACUGUACUUAUGUUAGCUGACCAGAUGAUCAGUAGAAUCGAAUAUGUGCAUACAAAGAAUUUUAUACACAGAGACAUUAAGCCAGAUAAUUUCCUCAUGGGUAUUGGGCGUCACUGUAAUAAGUUAUUCCUUAUUGAUUUCGGUUUGGCCAAGAAGUACAGAGACAACAGAACCAGGCAGCACAUACCAUACAGAGAAGACAAAAACCUCACUGGCACUGCCCGGUAUGCUAGCAUCAACGCACAUCUUGGUAUUGAGCAGAGUCGCCGAGAUGAUAUGGAAUCAUUAGGAUAUGUCUUGAUGUAUUUUAAUAGAACCAGUCUGCCAUGGCAGGGACUAAAGGCUGCAACAAAGAAACAGAAAUAUGAAAAGAUUAGUGAAAAGAAGAUGUCCACUCCUGUUGAAGCUUUAUGUAAGGGGUUUCCUGCAGAAUUUGCCAUGUACUUAAACUAUUGUCGUAGGCUGCGCUUCGAGGAAGCCCCGGAUUACAUAUACCUGAGGCAGCUAUUUCGCAUCCUUUUCAGGACCCUGAACCACCAAUAUGACUACACAUUUGAUUGGACAAUGUUAAAGCAGAAAGCCGCACAGCAGGCAGCCUCUUCCAGUGGUCAGGGUCAGCAGGCCCCAACCCCCACAGGUUUCUAAGCAUGAAUUGAGGAGCAUAAGAAGCAGAGCAGAUGAUCAGAGCAGCAAUUUGUUUCUCCCCAAAUCUAGAAAUUUUAG